rnacentral:misc_RNA from 1 species
GGAUGACUAAUCAAAAAAUGACGAGCAGAAAUUAUGUCUGCAUACUUUCAUCAUAUCUCAUGCUUGGGCAUAUGAAGGAAGCUGGAGAAAUUAUCGAUCAGUGGAAGCUUUCUGCAGCGACAGCUUUUGAUCGUUCCAGCUGCAAUAGACUUCUAAAAGCAUAUAAAGAAGUUGGGUUGGAAGAGAGUGCAGUAGCUUUCCGGCUGCUUCUAAUUCAGAAAGGUUGUGAUGAAAUAGAGGAAUCAUAGUAGC